rnacentral:rRNA from 1 species
AUUCUAGUUUAUCCUGCUAGAGGCUGCUGCUCUUUGGUUUGGGCUAAGCCAUGCAAGUUCCUCGUAAGAGUGCGAACUGCUCAGUAACACGUAGCUAACCUACCUUCAAGCCGGGAAUACCCUCGGGAAACUGAGGCUAAGUCCUGAUAGGAUAUGGAUACUGGAACGUUCCAUAUUUCAAACGCAAGGCUUAAAGAUGGGGCUGCGGCCGAUUAGGUAGUUGUUGAGGUAAUGGCCCAACAAGCCUGUUAUCGGUAGGGGCUCUUAGUGGAGUUGCCCCGAGAAGGAAUCUGAGACACUAUUCCUAGCUCUAUGGAGUGCAGCAGGCGCGAAACUUCUGCAAUGCCCGCAAGGGUGACAGAGCAAACCAAAGUGUUUUCUCGCGAGAGAAAACUUUUCUCUAUUGUAAAAAGACAGAGGAAUAAGGACUGGGCAAGACUGGUGCCAGCCGCCGCGGUAAUCCCAGCAGUCCGAGUAGCAGCCACAUUUAUUUGGUCUAAAACAUUCGUAGCUAGUUGAGACAGUUUCCUGUCAAAUCUUUCUGCUUAACAGAAAGGCGUGCAAGAAAUACUACUCAACUUGAGACCGGAAGAUGUGAGAAGAACAGCUGAAGUAGUAGUAAAAUAUGUUAAUCUUAGCUGGACUAACAAUAGCGAAGGCAUCUCACAAGAACGGAUCUGACAGUGAGGAAUGAAAGCUAGGGGCGCAAAAUGGAUUAGAUACCCAUGUAGUCCUAGCCGUAAACACUGCUUACUAGACAUUGUCUUCUCCUCGAGAGAAGGCAGUGCCGCAGAGAAGUCGAAGAGUAAGCUACCUGGGGAGUAUAGCCGCAAGGCCGAAACUUAAAGGAAUUGGCGGGGGGGCACUACCAGGAGUGACGCGUGCGGUUCAAUUAGAUUCUACACCGUGAACCUUACCAGGAGCGACAGCAGAAUGAAGGUCAGUCUAAAGGGCUUACCUAACACGCUGAGAGGAGUUGCAUGGCCGUCGUCAGCCUGUGCCGUGAGGUGACCAGUUAAAUCUGAUAACAGGCGAGACCUACGUCUAUAGUUGCUACGUUAAGAGCACACUAUAGAGACUGCAUUCGUAAGAAUGAGGAGGGUGUAGGCUACGACAGGUGAGUACGGCCCGAAUCCCCUGGGCUACACGCGCGCGGCAAUGGCAGAAACAAUGAGAUGCGACUCCGAAAGGAGAAGCCAAUCCCUUAAAUUCUGUCUCAGUCCAGAUUGAAGUCUGCAACCCGACUUCAUGACGCCGGAAUUCCUAGUAAUCGUUCGUUAGCAGCGAACGGUGAAUGAGUCCCCGCCCCUUGCACACACCGCCCGUCAAACCAACCGAGUUAUAUCUUGGUGAAACUCUUCUUGAGGUGAACCUCGGUAUGACAAGGUAGGUUAAGUCGACACAAGGUAUCCGUAGGGGAACCUGCGGAUGGAUCACCUCCU